rnacentral:rRNA from 1 species
UACGUAGGGGGCGAGCGUUGUCCGGAUUUACUGGGCGUAAAGAGCGCGUAGGCGGAAAUUUAAGCGUGGCCUGAAAGCCCCCGGCUCAACCGGGGAGUGCGGCUGCGAACUGGGUUUCUUGAGGACGAUAGAGGAGAGUGGAAUUCCUGGUGUAGCGGUGAAAUGCGUAGAUAUCAGGAGGAACACCCGAGGCGAAGGCGCCGCUCUGGGCCGUGACUGACGCUGAAGAGCGAAAGCGUGGGUAGCAAACAGG